rnacentral:rRNA from 1 species
CGGUGUUUAACUGGCGUGAUGUGGGACGUCCUACCGGUGGGCUUAGCCUCGCGAGGGGCGGCCCAACUAAUAUCCCGUCGCGGUGCUCUUUACUGAGUGUCGAGUCGGGCCGGUACGUUUAUUUUGAACAAAUUAGAGUGCUUAAAGCAGGCUAUCCUCGCCUGAAUACUGCGUGCAUGGAAUAAUGGAAUAGGACCUCGGUUCUAUUUUGUUGGUUUUCGGAACCCCGAGGUAAUGAUUAAUAGGGACAGAUGGGGGCAUUCGUAUUGCGACGUUAGAGGUGAAAUUCUUGGAUCGUCGCAAGACGGACAGAAGCGAAAGCAUUUGCCAAAAAUGUUUUCAUUAAUCAAGAACGAAAGUUAGAGGUUCGAAGGCGAUCAGAUACCGCCCUAGUUCUAACCAUAAACGAUGCCAGCUAGCGAUCCGCCGAAGUUCCUCCGAUGACUCGGCGGGCAGCUUCCGGGAAACCAAAGCUUUUGGGUUCCGGGGGAAGUAUGGUUGCAAAGCUGAAACUUAAAGGAAUUGACGGAAGGGCACCACCAGGAGUGGAGCCUGCGGCUUAAUUUGACUCAACACGGGAAACCUCACCAGGCCCAGACACCGGAAGGAUUGACAGAUUGAUAGCUCUUUCUUGAUUCGGUGGGUGGUGGUGCAUGGGCCGUUCUUAGUUGGUGGAGCGAUUUGUCUGGUUAAUUCCGAUAACGAACGAGACUCUAGCCUGCUAAAUAGGCGUACCUUAUGGUAUCGCGAAGGCCCCCGGCUUCGGCCGGUGGGUUUUUACUACCAACGUACAAACAAAUCUUCUUAGAGGGACAGGCGG